CCAGAGAUGGGAAGGCCUUCCAGUGAUUAUCACAGCCAUGCCUUUACCUCCAGAAGGCCUUUCCAUCUCUGUC
ensembl:miRNA